rnacentral:rRNA from 1 species
AUUGAACGCUGGCGGCAGGCCUAACACAUUCAAGUCGAGCGAGAGGCGGACGGGUGAGUAAUGUAUGGGGAUCUGCCCGAUGGAGGGGGCUAACUACUGGAAACGGUAGCUAAUACCGCAUACUAUCGGAUGAACCCAGAUGGGAUUAGCUAGUAGGUGGGGUAAAUGCUCACCUAGGCGACGAUCCCUAGCUGGUCUGCGAGGAUGAUCAGCAACACUGGGAGUGAGACACGGCCCAGACUCCUACGGGAGGCAGCAGUGGGGAAUAUUGCACAAUGGGCGCAAGCCUGAUGCAGCCAUGCCGCGUGUAUGAAGAAGGCCUUAGGGUUGUAAAGUACUUGCAGCGAGGAGGCGUUACUCGCAGAAGAAGCACCGGCUAACUCCGUGCCAGCAGCCGCGGUAAUUC